UGUGCCCAGUGUGGAAAAGGA
rnacentral:miRNA from 1 species